GAGCUGCUGAGGAGUUCCACAAUAGGACGAAAGGGCCGUCCAGUGC
rfam:Schistosoma curassoni strain Dakar, Senegal genome assembly, scaffold: SCTD_contig0000417